CAAACCUAAGUCUUUUUUCUAUACUUCGCUUCCUUUUUGUCGGAGAAUCAAAUAAAAGACUUUUCAUCUGCUCUGUUCAUCUCUUUGCGACGCUUUUUAUCAGAGAUCAAAUUGAUGGAUCGAUCUUUGUGAGAAAACGAUGAUUCAAAACCAACAAUGAUACUAAUCCCAACUUCUUCUUCUUCGUCUUACUCUUGUUGUACCCUUCCUCAAGCUUCCUUCAAUUCUAAUUCAUAUCCAUCAAAUCAGUCUCUGUUCCUCUCCAAAUCCGGUUAUCCAAUUCCACAUGAUACUUAUGCUUCAGUCUGUUGAUUUAAACUCCUUUCGCUAGGAUCUGAGUAUAAGUCUAAGCCUUCUGAUCCUUAAAGUAGCCCAAAAAGAUUUGCAUGUUAGAGUCUACAUAUAUUUCUGGAUCGUUAAUGAGAUUUGGUUAUUUAGAUGGAUUGAUUUUUUGUUUGUUUCAUGUUUAUAUAUAUUAACUAUGAGAAAUCGUUGUAGAUUGGUAGCUUGAAACAUCAACCAGCAAUGGAAACAGAGGAUGAUGAAUCAGUGAGCAUGAAUGGAAUAGCGUGUUCAAGAUGGAUAUUCUCAAAUAAUAUGCCGUUCGUAAUGAAACAAAAACUCCAAAUUUAGACUCCAGUGACUCAGAAUCGAGGAUCUGAAAGGUUUGAAGUAUUAGCAUCAGAACGGAAUGAAAGUUAUAUAUAGGAGAUAGAGAGAACCAUCUGAUCUGAGCUUACUAUAAAAAAAGAGAGUUACAACAGAGGGAGUCUCUGUUCAAAAAAAAAAACAGAGGGGGUCUGAGAAGAGCUAAGGAGAAAAGAACUAAAUAUGUAUCAAAGGAGAGACAAAGGAAGAACAUGCAAGGUUUCUCUGUGAUGAAAGUUAUAGUAAAAGAUGCAAUCACUUUGCAGAGAUCUACGGGACAGAGGAUGAAACUUUCCAUUAGGCAGAUGAUACAAAGAGAUAAAGUUCUCAAAUAUUAUGAUGGUAUGUACGAAUAGGAGGUAAGAAACAUGUUCUCAUGUAUUAUUCUUCUUUUUCAAUUAAUUGUGUAUGGUUGUUUUGUAUAAGGUUUGGAAAUAAUUUGUAUUUUUUUUAUUUGCUUUGCAUGAUUUGAAACGUUUUGGAGAACGAAGACCAUAGUCCAGAUUACAAAUUUAGACAACGCAUUUGUCGACCAACUGGAACAAAACACGGUGAAAUUUACCUCCUGCUCCAGUUAUUUUAAAGGUGUCAAUGAGCUUCCAUUCACCAAAAGGGGGUAACGUUGAACACAAAACAUUUGAGAUCUUUUGCAUGAAGCCUGGAUUUAGCACCCUGAUAAGAAAACACAAUAGAAUAUGGAUCAGUAUUAGUUGAGAAUCGAUAUCUAUCUAUAUAGCAAAAUGAAAUGUAUCUUACAGUUUGGUGUACCAGGACGCACUCAAAACUCUCUCCUCCAUAACUGGUGUUUUGUUUUCAGCAACGAAACAUUUUUAGAGUUAGACGCCAUUCAUCUCUGUAAGGUUUGAGAUCCUUAAUAAGACACAUUUUUCUUUCGUUUGA